GAUGAACGCUGGCGGCGUGCCUAAUACAUGCAAGUCGAGCGAACGGACCAGACGCUUGCUUCACUGAUGUUACCGGUGGAUGGGUGGGUAACAAGUGGCUAAUCUCCCUAUAAGACUGCGAUAACUUCGGGAAUCCGGCGCUAUUACCGGAUGAUAUUUUGAACCGUAUUGUUUAAAAGUGCAAGAGGGUAUUGUUGUCAUGCAUAGAUGGAUCCGCGCUGCAUUAUCUAGUUGGUACGGUAACGGCUUACCAAGGCAACGAUGCAUAGCCGACCUGAGAGGGUGAUCGGCCACACUGGAACUGAGACACGGUCCGGACUCCUACGGGAGGCAGCAGUAGGGAAUCUUCCGCAAUGGGCGAAAGCCUGACGGAGCAACGCCGCGUGAGUGAUGAAGGUCUUCGGAUCGUAAAACUCUGUUAUUAGGGAAUAACAUAUGUGUAAGUAACGGUGCACAUCUUGACGGUACCUAAUCAGAAAGCCACGGCUAACUACGUG
rnacentral:rRNA from 1 species